rnacentral:lncRNA from 1 species
GGGGCUGGCGCCUCGCCGCUUCCGGUGGAGCUGGCCGGCCGCGGGCCGCACUUCCCUCGGCUGGGGGCUCGCCGGCGCCCGAGCCCGCGCCUGGCUGCCCGGCGGCCGGGCGCCCCACGCGCAGCCUCUCUUAAUGGUCUAUGUGGCAGUGUUUCGGCAAGAACAAGGCUUUAUGUAGGUUUAACGACCUACCGAGGCCUUCCUUCCACAGCCAUUGCACGGACAUCUCCCAGGGGCUAGGCACCGUGUGAAGUGCUAGAGUGACAGCGUUGACCGGGACAGAUUCAGUCCUUCUGGAGACGGCGCAAGGAAAAGUGACCACAUGUAAGACCACUCAGCAAAUCAGAGGACAGACAGAGCCGGUGAUUAGAGCUUCCAG